UGCCAGCCGCCGCGGUAAUACGGAGGGAACGAGCGUUAAUCGGAAUUACUGGGCGUAAAGCGCGCGUAGGCGGCUUUGUAAGUCGGAUGUGAAAGCCCAGGGCUCAACCCUGGAAUUGCAUUCGAUACUGCAUGGCUAGAGUAUGGUAGAGGGAAGUGGAAUUUCCGGUGUAGCGGUGAAAUGCGUAGAUAUCGGAAGAACACCAGAGGCGAAGGCGGUCUCUUGGUCCGAAACUGACGCUGAGGCGCGAAAGCGUGGGGAGCAAACAGGAUUAGAUA
rnacentral:rRNA from 1 species